GGCUUCUCUUACCUUCUCAAUUAUAAACCAUGCCUAGGACCAUGUCUCAAUUCAACCUAAUAAUAGCUAUAGUACUGUUUUAAGAUUAAUUGAGAGGAAGCUGAAGGAUGAAUUGAGUAUUGUCACUCUAUGCACAAAACAGCAGAGAUACAAAGAAGAUUAGUAAUCAUCAUUAGAAAGAGGAAAGAAACUGUUUUCAAAUCAUUUCUACAGGCAAGGAGAAGAAUCUCAAAAUGCUCUAAGAGGAAAAAAGAGAGGAAGUGUCCAAUUUAAUGUAAUGAUAACAUUUUUUUUUAGCGAUUCACUGCUCACAACGAAAAUGAUAAGAGAUGACACCUUCAGUUUCCUCAGCUUAGUCUCUCAAAAGGACAAGUAUAAUUUAUGCUAUAUGCAUCAUAAGGAGACAUAUGCCUGCAAGCAUUUAUCGGCACACAAAAUUGCAGAAAUCUAGAUGAUUUUAUCUGAUUUCACCAAUUGUUAUUCUAAGAAAAGGAAU
rnacentral:misc_RNA from 1 species